CGCGUUAAAUAUUUAUGUCAGAAUAUCUAUGUCACCUUUUUUAACUAAAAUAUCUAUGUUACCUUAAACAGCAAAAUAUAACAAAUCAAAUGUAAUAAAUAAAAUAUCGUUUUGUGUUUGGAGACUCAACAAAACGAAAGCGAAAACCAAAACAGAUCAAACUAGGAUGGCUCUCCGUAUUGUGAAUCUCUUACUUCUUUUAUUCUCGGUAGCCUUAGUUCGUUCCGAUCAAACCAACAUGCCUCUCAAAACCUUCAAGGUCAGUUUUUUUUUUUUUUUUUUAAUUUCUCUUAUACCAUGGGCUGAGUUUUAACAUCAUUUUUAAUUAAUUAUUUUUGCUGAUCAGAUUGGUGAAAAACUUACGAUUGCAUGGAUAUUUAUAAGCAACCAGGACUUGAUCACCCUUUGCUCAAAAACCACACUAUCCACGUGCAUAGUUUCAGAAAUUCAUCUCCUACUAAUUACAGUUUAUUUUUAUGAAGUGUUAAUUUAAACUUGAUUAUAUAAUUACUUCGUCUUUUUUUUUUUUUUGAUAAGUAUGUGAAUAUUCAUUACCAAGAUAAUGACACAAGGAAGAUACAAUCAGUUCUUGCAG
rnacentral:lncRNA from 1 species